AUGCCCGAUGAUUAUAAAAAGACGCGUUAUUCUGAGGAACAAACCUGCCAGCAGUCUCUCCUCCCUCUUCCUCUCCUCCAUCUUACUGUGUCUCCAGCCUCCAUCUCUCCUCUCCUCCUCGUCUCCUCCUGUCUUCGAACUGCUAGCAGGCCCCGCUGACUGCGAUUAUGAGAUAUGAGGGCAU